AACGUAGGAGACGAACGUUAUCCGGAGUUACUGGGCGUAAAGGGCGCGUAGGCGGCCACCGCAAGUCGACUGUGAAAUCUCCGGGCUUAACCCGGAACGGUCAGCCGAUACUGCGGGGCUAGAGUGCAGAAGGGGCAACUGGAAUUCUCGGUGUAGCGGUGAAAUGCGUAGAUAUCGAGAGGAACACCUGCGGCGAAGGCGGGUUGCUGGGCUGACACUGACGCUGAGGCGCGAAAGCUAGGGGAGCGAACGGG
rnacentral:rRNA from 1 species